AGAGUUUGAUCCUGGCUCAGAACGAACGCUGGCGGCGUGCCUAACACAUGCAAGUCGAGCGAGAAAGUCCCGGCAACGGGAUGAGUAAAGCGGCAAACGGGUGAGUAACGCGUGGGUAAUCUACCCUACGGAUCGGGAUAACCUGCCGAAAGGUGGACUAAUACCGGAUGAUGUUCUCGCGGUGAUUCCGUGGGAACCAAAGGGGGCGAGCGUAAGCAGCUCUCACCGAAGGAGGAGCCUGCGUCCGAUUAGCUAGUUGGUGGGGUAAUGGCCUACCAAGGCGACGAUCGGUAGCCGGCCUGAGAGGGCGAUCGGCCACACUGGAACUGAGACACGGUCCAGACUCCUACGGGAGGCAGCAGUGGGGAAUAUUGCGCAAUGGGCGAAAGCCUGACGCAGCGACGCCGCGUGGGUGAUGAAGGCCUUCGGGUCGUAAAGCCCUGUCUGGUGGAACGAAACGCCAGGCGGCCAAUACCCGCCGGGUUUGACGGUACCACCGAAGGAAGCCCCGGCUAACUACGUGCCAGCAGCCGCGGUAAGACGUAGGGGGCGAGCGUUGUUCGGAUUUACUGGGCGUAAAGCGCGCGUAGGCGGCCAGAUAAGUCGGGUGUGAAAGCCCUCGGUUCAACCGAGGUUCCG
rnacentral:rRNA from 1 species